CAGGAGUGCCCAAACUUUUGCAUAACACUGUAGCCUACAUGCACAAGCACUAUAUUUUUAUGUUUUGAAAAUGUCAACGAUUCUUACCAUUCUCUGCAUAAAUCCUUUUUCUGCAAGUUUUUCCUCUAGCCUAUCUAGAUCAGCAAUGCUUGCUAGAGGAAAGACACCACUCUCUUCCUCUUCGACCAUAUCCAUCUGGGGUAAAGCGCGUCUGUUUCCUGUUAUAGACUGCACAAGUGAAGUCAGGUUGUUGAUCUUCAUGUCCAUUUUCUCCAGCUUUUCCAUAAUUGCCCUUUCUACAGCUGUAAUAAAGAAAAUAAUUAAAUUUGGGAUAUAGAUUUCAUGAAUAACGAUGCAUUUUACAGCUCAUUUAAACUGAGAAAUACAUACAUGUACAUUGAUUUUGUAAAGCACCCGGGGCUGGAAUUUCCUGUCUUGCAGCAUCUGUAAAUAUAAAUUUACUGUCAGGUUUAAAAUUUCAGAUGUAUUUUUACAUUUUGUCUUGGUUGAUUUUACCAAGAAUGUGUCAAGUUAUUUAGGCUGAAAUGUAACACCUUUUCAUAAAAUGAUCCAACCUAUGUAUUAAUAUGUUAUAAAACUGUUAGGUCCAGUCCUUAACUCUGAUUGGGCAAUAGCUGUGUUGUAUUCAUGGUAAAGCACAGCUAUGACUACUGCACCUAAUGAUUCUUUGUACCACUGCACAGCACCAUUAGAAAUGUAAACAAAACAUUCUGUUGCUGUUCAUAGUCUAUCAAGGACUGUUUUUUCCUACGGAAGGGAGACCUAGUAAUUUUACUUCAUGCAACUUGCAUUGUUGCAUAUGUUUGCGUAAAUAGUAUUUGUAUUUCUAUGAUAACCGUUUUAUAAAAGCAACAAGAUGCUAGAGACUAGUGCUUUAUUGUAAAUAAAUUAUUACCAAAGGGAUUGCCUACACUUGUGUUGUGGAUAAACCACACACUUCAGGUGUGACUUCUUUUACAGACUCUUGUACCGUAUUACUUCCUUAACAAUUUUUCUGGUAAGAAAUGCCCUGGAGUGGAAAUUGUUGUUGAAAAGCUAUUACUGAUAUAUUUGUACAACAUAAGUUACCUUGUGGUCUUUCUUGGUGGUCCGCCAAGGGUCUUGGAACAGAAAAGGCGUGGUCUGUUAAAUAUAAUGUUAUAUUAAUAUUUAGUUUUGAUCCUGUUGUGAAUAGUGUUUAUUUUUUCCACCUUCCUAUUCAAAUUAUUGCUCUUAACUUGAGUGUUAGGUUGAUCGAGAUACCAGCUCUGAUGGUGUGCCUUGGAGAUUCCUUGAGCUGCAAAGAUGGAUUAGAAGUCCUAGGCUACUGGAUCGACCUGAAUGCCCUGGUCUGCACAUGCUCGACCGUGGAAAAGUGCCUAUUGACAUUACCAGCAAUCUCCAGUGCAUCAACAUGCCAGCCGUGAAGGUGUGCCUGGGAGAUGCCAACUGGAGCUGCAAAAGGUAAAGUUGUUUAAGGUGGAUCAGCACUCCAGCUGACCCUGUGAUGGCCUGCUUGAGAGACGUCCAUUGGAGCUGUGAAAGGUGAAGAAGAAUUCAGCUCCAACCGUUAUGGAACACACCUGAAUCAUCUACUC